rnacentral:rRNA from 1 species
CAGGCCUAACACAUGCAAGUCGAACGGUGGCAGCAAUGUCAUAGUGGCGCACGGGUGCGUAACACGUAACUAACCUGCCUAAGACUGGGGGAUAGCCCGCCGAAAGGCGGAUUAAUACCGCAUAACACUACAGAGCGGCAUCGCUUAGUAGUUAAACCUGAGGGGGUCUUAGAUGGGGUUGCGGGUCAUUAGCUAGUUGGUAAGGUAAUGGCUUACCAAGGCGACGAUGACUAGGGGAGCUGAGAGGCUGGUCCCCCACACGGGCACUGAGAUACGGGCCCGACUCCUACGGGAGGCAGCAGUAGGGAAUAUUGGGCAAUGGGCGAGAGCCUGACCCAGCCAUGCCGCGUGCAGGAAGAAGGCUUUCUGAGUCGUAAACUGCUUUUGAUAGGGAAGAAUAACCUGUACGUGUACAGGGAUGACGGUACCUACAGAAUAAGCACCGGCUAACUCCGUGCCAGCAGCCGCGGUAAU